AUGGCUGAAUUCUUCGAUAUUCGGGACUGAGGACAAGUGGAAACGGGCGCAGGCAAUAUCCUAUCGGGGUUGCUGGGCGGCGUGGGACAGUAUUUCUGGGGUAUCCGGCCCUCAGCUCACCUCUGUCUUUGCACCCCUUCCAGGGUUAACUGCUCCUUUUACUUUAGGAUCGGGGCCUUCCGGCAUGGGGACCAAUGCUCCCGGCUUCCCAAAACAAACUUUCAGGCUGGUGAGACUUGGCACGGAGCCUGGAGGGUUAAAGCCUCCGGGCUGUUCCCCUUCCGUUGUCCAUCAUCCCGAGGUCCCGCCUUUUCCGGAUGUCUUAGGCCCACCCUACUGCCCGGCUUUUUUCUAGUUGGACCUCUGCUAUUCCUCCCUCAACCUACACCCCUCGGUUGUCUCUCACUUCUAGGUCCUCCCUCUGCUGGUUUCCUUAGGGACAUGCAUCGCUGAUGCACUCAAGAUGCUUAGGCUUUGCACAUAGCCCUGCUCUCUCUGCUCAGGACCCUGCCCCUCUUAAUUCUAUUCAGACAAUAGUGCUGCUCAACCUGUACCGGAAUCCACAGAACACCGCCCAAACCGCAGACGAUCGCACUGGAGGGACCAUUUCUUGGGGGCAGGACGGACUGCCCUCUGCAGGCCACUUCCUGAUUCCACCCUACCGCCUCCAGGUUACGUGCGUGAGGUAGAGGUACAAGAACACUAUGAUAACGUAUUUGAGGUGAGGACUGGCAGAGAUGGGUUGAGUUGUGGGCCAGGAGUUCAGCUGAACACCUCCUGGUCUCCACAGGAGGUGAUCAUGGAACUGCAGGAGAAGUACGGGGAGAUUGAAGAGAUGAAUGUGUGUGACAACUUGGGGAACCACCUCAUGGGCAAUGUCUAUGUCAAUGUGCCUGCUUUCCCCCCAUUAGAGACCAGAGGUGGAGGCAUUUCAGUGCCUAAAGGUCACCACUUAAGCCUCAUAGUUUGAGGUCCAUCACUAAAUCCAGUCCAGCCCCAGAGCUGCUUACAAAUCCCCUGAAGGUUUCUGAGUUUGACUACCAAACUUGACCUACUUCCGGCACGAAGAGGAUGCUGAGCGGGCAGUAGCUGAACUCAGUAACCGCUGGUUCAGUGGGCAGGCUCUGCAUGCUGAUCUGUCUCCUGUCACCGACUUCCGGGAGUCAUGCUGUCGGCAGUAUGAGAUGGGAGAAUGUACUCGUGGUAGCUUUUGCAACUUCAUGCACCUGUGACCCACCUCCCGGAACUUCUGGCAGCAGUUCUAUUGGUUGGAACCCAGGCUCAAGUAUCUCAGGACCAGCCUGCCAAGACUUCUCAAACUCUAGAGCUCCUAUAAUCUGAAAUGAACCUGAUCCUAUGUCUCAAUAACAAUAUCUC